rnacentral:rRNA from 1 species
AGCGAACGCUGGCGGCAGGCCUAACACAUGCAAGUCGAGCGCCCCGCAAGGGGAGCGGCAGACGGGAGAGUAACACGUGGGAACGUACCCUUCGGUUCGGAACAACCCAGGGAAACUUGGGCUAAUACCGGAUACGUCCGAAAGGAGAAAGAUUUAUCGCCGAGGGAUCGGCCCGCGUCUGAUUAGCUGGUUGGUGGGGUAACGGCCCACCAAGGCGACGAUCAGUAGCUGGUCUGAGAGGAUGAUCAGCCUCACUGGGACUGAGACACGGCCCAGACUCCUACGGGAGGCAGCAGUGGGGAAUAUUGGACAAUGGGCGCAAGCCUGAUCCAGCCAUGCCGCGUGGGUGAUGAAGGCCCUAGGGUUGUAAAGCCCUUUCGGCGGGGAAGAUAAUGACGGUGCCCGCAGAAGAAGCCCCGGCUAACUUCGUGCCAGCCGCCGCCGUAAAAC